GACGAACGCUGGCGGCGUGCUUAACACAUGCAAGUCGAACGGAAAGGCCCUGCUUGCCGGGUACUCGAGUGGCGAACGGGUGAGUAACACGUGGGUGAUCUGCCCUGCACUUCGGGAUAAGCCUGGGAAACUGGGUCUAAUACCGGAUAGGAGCCAUUUUUAGUGUGAUGGUUGGAAAGUUUUUUCGGUGUAGGAUGAGCUCGCGGCCUAUCAGCUUGUUGGUGGGGUAAUGGCCUACCAAGGCGGCGACGGGUAGCCGGCCUGAGAGGGUGGACGGCCACAUUGGGACUGAGAUACGGCCCAGACUCCUACGGGAGGCAGCAGUGGGGAAUAUUGCACAAUGGGCGCAAGCCUGAUGCAGCGACGCCGCGUGGGGGAUGACGGCCUUCGGGUUGUAAACUCCUUUCGUUAGGGACGAAGCUUUUUGUGACGGUACCUAGAGAAGAAGCACCGGCUAACUACGUG
rnacentral:rRNA from 1 species